rnacentral:misc_RNA from 1 species
GUAACAAGGUUUCCGUAGGUGAACCUGCGGAAGGAUCAUUACCGAGUGCGGGUCUUUAUGGCCCAACCUCCCACCCGUGACUAUUGUACCUUGUUGCUUCGGCGGGCCCGCCAGCGUUGCUGGCCGCCGGGGGGCGACUCGCCCCCGGGCCCGUGCCCGCCGGAGACCCCAACAUGAACCCUGUUCUGAAAGCUUGCAGUCUGAGUGUGAUUCUUUGCAAUCAGUUAAAACUUUCAACAAUGGAUCUCUUGGUUCCGGCAUCGAUGAAGAACGCAGCGAAAUGCGAUAACUAAUGUGAAUUGCAGAAUUCAGUGAAUCAUCGAGUCUUUGAACGCACAUUGCGCCCCCUGGUAUUCCGGGGGGCAUGCCUGUCCGAGCGUCAUUGCUGCCCUCAAGCCCGGCUUGUGUGUUGGGCCCUCGUCCCCCGGCUCCCGGGGGACGGGCCCGAAAGGCAGCGGCGGCACCGCGUCCGGUCCUCGAGCGUAUGGGGCUUCGUCUUCCGCUCCGUAGGCCCGGCCGGCGCCCGCCGACGCAUUUGUUUGCAACUUGUUUUUUUCCAGGUUGACCUCGGAUCAGGUAGGGAUACCCGCUGAACUUAAGCAUAUCA